UACGUAGGGUGCAAGCGUUAAUCGGAAUUACUGGGCGUAAAGCGUGCGCAGGCGGUGAUGUAAGACAGUUGUGAAAUCCCCGGGCUCAACCUGGGAACUGCAUCUGUGACUGCAUCGCUGGAGUGCGGCAGAGGGGGAUGGAAUUCCGCGUGUAGCAGCGAAAUGCGUAGAGAUGCGGAGGAACACCGAUGGCGAAGGCAGCCCCCUGGGCUGACACUGACGCUCAGGCACGAAAGCGUGGGGAGCAAACAGG
rnacentral:rRNA from 1 species